AUAGGCUGCAGGCCUCUACUCCUACUUUAUAGGGGCGUGUAAGCCAUAAAAAAGGAGGAAGCAAAUCCCGUCGGGCCGGCGGUGCGGCAGUGUGGAGACCUGUCGUAAUGUCCGUGCAGGUUCGCUCUGCGCGGAUAAGGGGCGCUUGCGGGAGCAGGUAGUCCCACGGCUUGUAUACAUGGCA
rfam:Anaerotruncus colihominis DSM 17241 Scfld_02_16 genomic scaffold, whole genome shotgun sequence.